CAGGGGAGGUAAGGCAGGAGGAACAGACUAGUUGCCCCAAGCCCGACGGGAUAUGGAUUUCCCGUCGGACAGGUGGCAAAAGGGAAGGAGGGCAAAAUGGUAUUAGGGGAGCGGUCCAACAAAGUAGAUUUGGGGUAGCAUGGAAGGAACAAGUAUAGGAAGAGAGAUAAUGUAACAUAUUAUGAGCCUCUUUUCUUCCCCCAAAAGAGAUCCACUUCCCCUUUAUUUUUUGUUUCUAUUUUUUCUAAAGGAAUUGUUAUGAAGAUAAUACUGUUACUUAUGUAUUGACUGAUUUAAACCAGAGGAAUGCCUCCUAGGUUUCUGUAUACUCUUGCUUUGCUAAAAAAAAAACAAUAAAAAGAAGAUUGAAAGAAAUGUUAUCUGGGUGGGAAAGGACUUUUUUUUUUUUGGAUUUCUUUACAGAUAUCUUAAAUAGCAGAUGCUCUUGAAAAACGCACAUAGGAACCUCAUUGUUCAGCUUUGGCAAGUGUGCAAAUUCUGGUCCACUUUUCUUCUCCAUGUUUUUCAGAAUGCGUUAGAAAGCAUGAGGUGGGAAAUGGAGCACACACACGUAAUGUACAAUGGCAUGUGCUAUAUUGAGAAGUCCUAUGUAAUUUAACUGAUCAGGUAGAUAUUUUGGCUUUUUUCCUGAUGCUUUAGCUGUACUGUUUUAUAGCAAUUCAUUUGCCUAUAUUGUCUGAAGUGAUGGUGACCUUAGAAUGUUCUAUUUGUGUGUGCUUUUUUUUCCCCUUACUACUUUUUCAGACUUCUAAACAUUCCUGGAGCCCCUUCCGUAUGUCCAACAUUUUUACAAUGUUCUUCUGUGAUGCACCUUUUUUUUAUUUGCUUCCCUGGAUAAAUAUUAUUACCUUGCAUAAGUGAUGGCAAAUGCAAGUAUUCUCGGGAGGGAAAAAUGCUUUUUGGAUUUCUUCAGAUGUCUUCACUAGAAGUUUGGGAACAAAUUGGUUAGUCAGUUGCGAGUUUCCAGGUAUUCUAUCCCCUUUUAUCUCAGUUUUCAGAAAGCGCUGUGAAGUUUAACUGCGCAAAAUACAACUGUGAGG